rnacentral:tRNA from 1 species
AGGGAUAUAGCUCAGUUGGCAGAGUGCCUGCUUACAUGCACAAGGCUCUGGGUUCGAUCCCCAGUACCCCAC